GAUCAUGGCUCAGGAUGAACGCUAGCGGCAGGCCUAAUACAUGCAAGUCGAACGGUGUAGCAAUACACAGUGGCGCACGGGUGCGUAACACGUAUGCAACCUACCUUACAUUGGGGGAUAGCCUUUCGAAAGGGAGAUUAAUACCGCAUAAGACAGUAACUAGGCAUCUAGUAGCUGUUAAAGAUUUAUCGAUGUAAGCUGGGCAUGCGUCCAAUUAGUUAGUUGGCGAGGUAA
rnacentral:rRNA from 1 species